rnacentral:rRNA from 1 species
CCUACGGGGGGCAGCAGUGGGGAAUAUUGCACAAUGGGGGGAACCCUGAUGCAGCAACGCCGCGUGGGUGAAGAAGUACUUCGGUAUGUAAAGCCCUGUCAGCAGGGAAGAAAAUGACGGUACCUGACUAAGAAGCCCCGGCUAACUACGUGCCAGCAGCCGCGGUAAUACGUAGGGGGCAAGCGUUAUCCGGAUUUACUGGGUGUAAAGGGAGCGUAGACGGCAAGGCAAGUCUGGAGUGAAAGCCCGGGGCUCAACCACGGGACUGCUUUGGAAACUGUGUUGCUGGAGUGCAGGAGGGGUAAGCGGAAUGCCUAGUGUAGCGGUGAAAUGCGUAGAUAUUAGGAGGAACACCGGUGGCGAAGGCGGCUUACUGGACUGUAACUGACGUUGAGGCUCGAAGGCGUGGGGAGCAAACAGGAUUAGAUACCCUAGUAGUC